AAUUAGUAAACUUUUGGAAUGGAAAAUAGCAUGAAAAAUAAUAACUUAGAAAGCUUUUGUGAUGGAAACUAUAGUCACAGAAGUUUUGGGAGGUAUUUCUUGUGAACAUAAAUAUUUUAAUGAAUAAGUAUUUUUAUGACCAAUAACUACAAUAAACUUAAUUAGAUAGGUAACAGAACAAAUUGGAUUAAAACAUGAAUUGCAAUGCAACUUGUAUAUAUUAUAAUGUAUUCAUGCACCUUGCAGAAAAGUUCAUUUGAACUAAUUAAAAAUUUAUUGAAAUAAUUAUCAUUACUUUUUCUCCUAGAGUUACACCAAAGAGAACAUCACUAACAGUAGUUGCAUAGAUAUAUAAUAUUGCAUUUGUUUCCACCUGGCUAUUAAGGGGUGAUAAAUUAAUCUACUGCAGUGUACAUGUUGCUUAUCUCACAACAGGAGAUUACCACAGACUGAUAAGAUCUUGUCUGCUUUAUAUUUAGAAACUCAACCAAGAGGUCAGCCAAUGAAAAUAAAGCCAGUGAACUACUUCUGGGGGCUGUGCAUGUACCACAAAAAGUAUAGCACCAUAUGUGUAUAUUAAGUAUGGCACACAUGAAUGAAUUGGGACCUUAUCAACGUAUUGUGUUGAAAGAAGACUUAACGAAUCCAGCAGUUCAAAAACAUGUUUUGCAGUGAGACGAAUGGUGACAGUGGCUUUGUGGCAGUUAGUAAAAACUGUGGCAUUUUACAUUGAUGAUGGCUACCAUUUACAGAAAAUUUCUCAACCAAUAGUGACAUUCAAUUGAAAGUAAUAGCAUAUCUUACACUGACUAUACAUCAGAAUGUUGUUGAAAGAAGCCAUGGCAAAAAGUGGAAAAUACUGAUCAAUAUACUUCAAUGACCUUGGAACUGAGUAGAAAAUGGUGACAUUUUAGCACCACAUUGUGUGUAUACUUUUUCUUGCAUCCGCACAGUCCGGUCAGGAUCCAUGCUGUUCACUAAUGGUUUCUAUGGUUGCAAUAGCAUUUGAAAGCGAACAGCAUGGAUCCUGACCAAAUCAAGCUGAUGCGCAGGCUGGUCUGUAUCCAUGCUGAUCGCAAAGCCAAUAUGUUGGUUUUCUCCUGGCACGGCUCAUAUAUAAAUUUGUUUCAUGCAUGUAAAUAAUAUUAUGUUUUGCUUAUGGUAUUUUGUCAGCACAGGUAAUGAAACGCUAAAAAAACAUAAAAUAUUUUGUUAGUGUUUUGUUUAAAUUUGUAACCUUGCUCUUUUGCAUAUCAUAUGUUUUGUUGGUAUUUUGUUAGCAGUGUUUUGUUAGUGUUUUCUUUAGCUCAUAUAAUGAAACACUAAUAAAACAUUAAGUAUUCUGUUAGUGUUUUGUAUAAGCCUAAUUUGCAUAUCAUGUUUUGUUGGUAUUUCGUUAGCAAUGUUUUGUUAGUGUUUUGUUAGUGUUUUGUUACCUCAUUUGCAUGUCAUUUGCUAUACUAAUAAAACAUCAUCAAAACACAG
rnacentral:lncRNA from 1 species